CUCUCGUGGGUGUCCGUAGAGCCUUGGGAGUGGAUUUGGCAAAGCACUGCUGCCAUCAGGGCUGCUAGCUCUGCGAGGUCCUUUCAGAACUCCCUCCUGAGCAUGGCGGGUCUAGUAUUAGAGCCCAAUCCCUUCUCUGCCGUUCCGGGUUCCUGCGUGGAGGACUGAAGCAUCGAGAUUUGGACUGUAAAAUUCAAGAAUAUAAAGAAGCUGGGAAAACCUUUCCACAAAAUCCAAUAAUAGAAUGGUUUAUCCAGCUGUUACUGGGAGUGGACUAUAUGCAUGAGAGGGGAUUUUGGAGUAUCUUGACUCCUGAUGGGACCCUGUGCCCUGGCCACAACGUUAACUGGAACGCCCCAUUACAUGAGCCCAGAGGCUCUGCAGCACCAGGGCUACGACACCAAGUUGGACAUCUGGAGGACGCUGACGAGGGAGGCAACCUGCGCCACUGGCCCUAA
rnacentral:lncRNA from 1 species